GGACUUCUUGGAGCUGGAGAGAAAGUACAGGAGAGCAAAGAGCCCUGCUGCCAAACAGAGCAGCGAGCAGGAGCCCAGGGUCAGAACUCAAGGACAGGAGCCAUGCUGGAUGCUGUCCCUGUGCCAGGUCACAGGACUCAUCUGGACCCCGGUGAUGCAAUGGAGGAAGCAGGGCACAGGUGGGAAAGCCCACAACAAUUCACAGCCCAGGGUAAGCAAGCCCUUGGGGAGGACAAGACUGACCAUGGACAAGCUGGAAUGGUGGGAUGAAGAUGUGUUAAUCAGGAUUGCUGACAGGAGCAGAUCUAUUUACAGGAACCUGAAUUGAAAGGGAGAAAAAUGGUUUACAACAGCCUGUGGCAGUGAUGGAGCAAGAGCCUUAUGUAAGAGCUGGCGGAGGUGAGGCAGCAAUGAGUGAUCCUGGAGGGAUGUUUCUCUGAGGUGUGUUCUCUCCUGGCCUGGGAACAGCAGUCUCAAGGGCACAAAUUCCAGCAUCUGAAUGUGCUUGGUCUUGUUCAGCUCAUUAAUUUCCUACAGCUAUCCCAAGUCAAGCUAUGAAAUCCCCUAGUGCUUUACUCCGAGCCUUUCAUGGCUUGUCAAUAAAUUAUUUUCCAAUUAAGUACCUGAUAAUUUGAGUCUGCAGGCUCUUAGGAGAGGCAGCGUGGUGAGAGAGAGAAAAUAAUGGAAGUCAUGGACGUUUCCCUGCCUGUAAAAUGAAUAAAGGUUCUUCUCUGAAG